rnacentral:rRNA from 1 species
UACGUAGGGUGCGAGCGUUAAUCGGAAUUACUGGGCGUAAAGCGUGCGCAGGCGGUUCGUUAAGUCAGAUGUGAAAGCCCCGAGCUCAACUUGGGAACUGCAUUUGAAACUGGCGGGCUGGAGUGUGGCAGAGGGGGGUGGAAUUCCACGUGUAGCAGUGAAAUGCGUAGAGAUGUGGAGGAACACCGAUGGCGAAGGCAGCCCCCUGGGUCAAGAUUGACGCUCAUGCACGAAAGCGUGGGGAGCAAACAGG